UGGUGGAGUGAUUUGUCUGGUUAAUUCCGAUAACGAACGAGACCUUAACCUGCUAAAUAGCCAGGCCGGCUUUUGCUGGUCGCCGGCUUCUUAGAGGGACUGUCAGUGUCUAACUGACGGAAGUUUGAAGCAAUAACA
rnacentral:rRNA from 1 species